rnacentral:rRNA from 1 species
GACGAACGCUGGCGGCGUGCUUAACACAUGCAAGUCGAACGGAAAGGCCCUGCUUUUGUGGGGUGCUCGAGUGGCGAACGGGUGAGUAACACGUGAGUAACCUGCCCUUGACUUUGGGAUAACUUCAGGAAACUGGGGCUAAUACCGGAUAGGAGCUCCUGCUGCAUGGUGGGGGUUGGAAAGUUUCGGCGGUUGGGGAUGGACUCGCGGCUUAUCAGCUUGUUGGUGGGGUAGUGACUUACCAAGGCUUUGACGGGUAGCCGGCCUGAGAGGGUGACCGGCCACAUUGGGACUGAGAUACGGCCCAGACUCCUACGGGAGGCAGCAGUGGGGAAUAUUGCACAAUGGGCGGAAGCCUGAUGCAGCAACGCCGCGUGCGGGAUGACGGCCUUCGGGUUGUAAACCGCUUUCGCCUGUGACGAAGCGUGAGUGACGGUAAUGGGUAAAGAAGCACCGGCUAACUACGUG